GCCCCGCUGAUCUCUGGCGGGUGCCGGGCUCGGCCUUCAAAGCCGAUGGACGCCGCGAGGCGUCGCCGUUCGACUCGGCCUGCGGGGC
rnacentral:tRNA from 1 species